rnacentral:rRNA from 1 species
GGACGAACGCUGGCGGCGUGCCUAACACAUGCAAGUCGAGCGAGGAGAUUCCUUCGGGAUGAUCCUAGCGGCGGACGGGUGAGUAACACGUGGGCAACCUGCCUCAUAGAGAGGAAUAGCCUUCCGAAAGGGAGAUUAAUACCUCAUAACAUUGCAGUUUCGCAUGGAACAGCAAUUAAAGGAGUAAUCCGCUAUGAGAUGGGCCCGCGGCGCAUUAGCUAGUUGGUGAGGUAACGGCUCACCAAGGCGACGAUGCGUAGCCGACCUGAGAGGGUGAUCGGCCACAUUGGGACUGAGACACGGCCCAGACUCCUACGGGAGGCAGCAGUGGGGAAUAUUGCACAAUGGGGGAAACCCUGAUGCCAGCAACGCCGCGUGAGUGAUGACGGCCUUCGGGUUGUAAAGCUCUGUCUUCAGGGACGAUAAUGACGGUACCUGAGGAGGAAGCCACGGCUAACUACGUGCCAGCCGCGGC